rnacentral:lncRNA from 1 species
CUCCUCCUUGCCCUCUUCUGUGUUUCUUUCCACUCCCUACAUUAUAUUAUAGUGACUGGACACUUGGGAUAAUUCGAGUCAGUUAAUGUUUGAAAUACACACAGAGUGAAACAAAAGUUCACAAAGUACAGCCUGCUGUUUGUCACCCAGUGCUCAAUGACUGAAAUAGAGCAGAAGAUGGGCCAAGAAGGGUCCAUCUGAUGGACCUCAGUGCUCAAACAGGCCACCAAGAUAAAUCUGCUCUUGGGAAUUGCAUCUCCUCGUGCCUGGGAGCAGAAAGUCUUUGCUGCCAUGAACUGUUGCUCCUCUGCCAUGUGCCACCCUGCCUUGGAGCCAGCCGAUUAUGGACUGAAACUGCUACAAAUUGUGAGCUAAAUAAAACCUUUUCCCCUCUAACUUUGGAUGCCGGUAUUUUGUCUUAACAAUGAGAGAAAAGUAACUAAGAACAGACUCAGAAAGGCAUGGAUCACAUGGGUUUUCUCAUAUGUGGAAUCUAGGGGGAAGAAAAGACAUGAAAGUAGAAGGGAGACUAGUUGGUAAUAGGAAAAGGGCCAGGAGGAUCAAGAGAGGAUGGGUAUGACCAAAUAAUGUAAUAUGCAAGUAUGACAAUGUCACAAAGAAACCCAUUACAUUUUC